GGCCUAAACCAGACGGGGUAGCUCUCUGGCAUGGCAUAAACCGGUAAAAGAUAGAGAACCCAUCAUGGGAGCACUUUUACCGGUCCUGUCGGGAAACUGGCAGUGGGUAGCCGAGCUACC
rnacentral:sRNA from 12 species